GCGGCGUGCUUAACACAUGCAAGUCGAACGGAAAGGCCCUGCUUUUGUGGGGUGCUCGAGUGGCGAACGGGUGAGUAACACGUGAGUAACCUGCCCUUGACUUUGGGAUAACUUCAGGAAACUGGGGCUAAUACCGGAUAGGAGCUCCUGCUGCAUGGUGGGGGUUGGAAAGUUUCGGCGGUUGGGGAUGGACUCGCGGCUUAUCAGCUUGUUGGUGGGGUAGUGGCUUACCAAGGCUUUGACGGGUAGCCGGCCUGAGAGGGUGACCGGCCACAUUGGGACUGAGAUACGGCCCAGACUCCUACGGGAGGCAGCAGUGGGGAAUAUUGCACAAUGGGCGGAAGCCUGAUGCAGCAACGCCGCGUGCGGGAUGACGGCCUUCGGGUUGUAAACCGCUUUCGCCUGUGACGAAGCGUGAGUGACGGUAAUGGGUAAAGAAGCACCGGCUAACUACGUGCCAGCAGCCGCGGUGAUACGUAGGGUGCGAGCGUUGUCCGGAUUUAUUGGGCGUAAAGGGCUCGUAGGUGGUUGAUCGCGUCGGAAGUGUAAUCUUGGGGCUUAACCCUGAGCGUGCUUUCGAUACGGGUUGACUUGAGGAAGGUAGGGGAGAAUGGAAUUCCUGGUGGAGCGGUGGAAUGCGCAGAUAUCAGGAGGAACACCAGUGGCGAAGGCGGUUCUCUGGGCCUUUCCUGACGCUGAGGAGCGAAAGCGUGGGGAGCGAACAGGCUUAGAUACCCUGGUAGUCCACGCUGUAAACGGUGGGUACUAGGUGUGGGGUCCAUUCCACGGGUUCCGUGCCGUAGCUAACGCUUUAAGUACCCCGCCUGGGGAGUACGGCCGCAAGGCUAAAACUCAAAGGAAUUGACGGGGCCCCGCACAAGCGGCGGAGCAUGCGGAUUAAUUCGAUGCAACGCGUAGAACCUUACCUGGGUUUGACAUGGAUCGGGAGUGCUCAGAGAUGGGUGUGCCUCUUUUGGGGUCGGUUCACAGGUGGUGCAUGGCUGUCGUCAGCUCGUGUCGUGAGAUGUUGGGUUAAGUCCCGCAACGAGCGCAACCCUUGUUCACUGUUGCCAGCACGUUAUGGUGGGGACUCAGUGGAGACCGCCGGGGUCAACUCGGAGGAAGGUGGGGAUGACGUCAAGUCAUCAUGCCCCUUAUGUCCAGGGCUUCACGCAUGCUACAAUGGCUGGUACAGAGAGUGGCGAGCCUGUGAGGGUGAGCGAAUCUCGGAAAGCCGGUCUCAGUUCGGAUUGGGGUCUGCAACUCGACCUCAUGAAGUCGGAGUCGCUAGUAAUCGCAGAUCAGCAACGCUGCGGUGAAUACGUUCCCGGGGCUUGUACACACCGCCCGUCAAGUCAUGAAAGUUGGUAACACCCGAAGCCGGUGGCCUAACCGUUGUGGGGGAGCCGUCGAAGGUGGGACUGGUGAUUAGGACUAAGUCAUAAC
rnacentral:rRNA from 1 species